AAUUCGAUGCAACGCGAAGAACCUUACCUGGUCUUGACAUCCACAGAACUUUCCAGAGAUGGAUUGGUGCCUUCGGGAACUGUGAGACAGGUGCUGCAUGGCUGUCGUCAGCUCGUGUUGUGAAAUGUUGGGUUAAGUCCCGCAACGAGCGCAACCCUUAUCCUUUGUUGCCAGCGGUUAGGUCGGGAACUCAAAGGAGACUGCCAGUGAUAAACUGGAGGAAGGUGGGGAUGACGUCAAGUCAUCAUGGCCCUUACGACCAGGGCUACACACGUGCUACAAUGGCGCAUACAAAGAGAAGCGACCUCGCGAGAGCAAGCGGACCUCAUAAAGUGCGUCGUAGUCCGGAUUGG
rnacentral:rRNA from 1 species